rnacentral:rRNA from 1 species
UACGGGGGGAGCAAGCGUUGUUCGGAUUUACUAGGCGUAAAGGGCGGGUAGGCGGCCACCGCAAGUCAGUUGUGAAAUCUCUGGGCUUAACCCGGAAAGGUCAGCCGAUACUGCGGGGCUAGAGUGCAGAAGGGGCAACUGGAAUUCUCGGUGUAGCGGUGAAAUGCGUAGAUAUCGAGAGGAACACCUGCGGCGAAGGCGGGUUGCUGGGCUGACACUGACGCUGAUGCGCGAAAGCUAGGGGAGCGAACGGG